AAGUUUAUCACUUUUAAAUUUUUAAAAAAAAAUUUCAUAUCGUUUCUUCCUCACGCAAUUAGGGUUCAGAAUCCUCCAUGGCUCAUCUCAUUCUCCAUAGCCACCUCUCUUCCUCAUGUGAGCUCUCCUUCUCUUCUUCUUCGCUAUGUCCCAUUCCCAUUCUCAUAUCUCUGUUUAAAAAGUUAUCUUUCACACCUCUUUCCCUCCCCGUCAACACUCAAUCUCAUUCCUAUUCCCAUAUCUCUGUUUCUUGCUUUAUUCCUUAUAGGUUUCCUCUUUCCCAUACUACCAACUCUCUUAAACUUCCAGUUGCAACCAAUAGAGUCAAUAACGAUUUCCUUCUACAUUUCUCUUCAACUUCCCAAGAGAAAUCUCUCGAGUGGUCUCCGUGAAGUGGUGUCACUGAAAGUGAAGAACUUGAGACCAAUGAAGUUCAUAAAGACAAUUUGUAUGUCAUGCCUUUGGAUUACACUUCCCAAUCUGUUUGUGCUCUUUUUUCAGAAGUACGGGACUGUUGUAGACGUUACGCUUCCUAAGAAUCCCAAAAUAGCAUUUGUUACAAUGGCUUCACCAGAGGAGGCUCUUGCGGCUCUUAAUAGUCUUCAAUCGUGUGUAAGGAUAUUUCUAGUUUGAUCAACUCGAUUACUAUGUGUCAUAGGAAACUAAACAAUAUUUGGGUCAUGUGAUAAAUAACCAGAACUAUACAAAUAGUAAUAACAAUGAAGGAUCUAGUAUUUAAAGUACAAUUGUUAUUAAGAUCCGGAAGAUACAUUAAGUGUUUCAUCUUUAGAAGAAAAACUAAUGUACCAGAAGAACUUGAGCUGGCUAUGAUUCAGAAAACCCAACUCAUCACCUUCACAUUGAAGAAGUCUCACCAAAUACAGUACAAAGUUUACCUUCUCUAGAUAGAAGUUGUGUACUACUCAAAUGAUAUAAAACCAAACUAAUUUAUCCAAAAAUAAUAAAUUCAAACUAAAACGAAGUAGCCACACUAGAAAACAGUUCUAUGUACAUUUAAAGAAUGUCUAGUUCUGGAUGCUACUCUCUUAUUUUCUCUUUAAAAGUACCAUGUACAUAUUACAUUUACAUGCAUAAUGGACAAAAGACCUGCUCUCAUCCUUAGAAUAAGGCAAGUUUGACCCCACUAUAGAAUUUGGUACUGGAAUCAUGUUGCUCUUGGAAAUUGUUAGCUUAAUCUUUUUUUCGUAUUUGGGUCAUUUUGCAAAAGAUAACAAAUAUUUGGCAUUCGACAAAAGUAAUCACUUUCUCGUUAGAGGACCUAAUAGUAUUUAUUAUCUACAUAGCCAUGUUCUUCUUUACUAAUAUAAGUUUUUACUUUCUUUAAUUUUAUAUAAUUAUAGGAUGAACCAAAUAGCUAACAAACUUAAUUCGUCCAGACCUUUCUGUAUGUGUUUUUCGCUAAAUGUACUGAAAAAAUGGUUCCUUGUACUGUAAUUUAGUGUGUAAAUUCUAGUCCAGUGGAAAAAAAUGGUUCCUUAUACUUCAGGUUACUGACCUUUUAGAAGUUUUAGUUAAUUCUUCAAUUGGGUUAGUCUUUUAGUGCGUGCUAAACCAUCUUGCUCUGUAAUUAGAUUUUGCAAUUAGUGACAGCAAAUUAAAGUUUUAUAAAAAUAUUUGUCACUGCAUAUAAGACAUGAUUGAACUACAUGGAGAUCCUCACAACAGUUUUGGGUUUUGCAUGGAGCCUAUUCUCAACUUAGACAAUGACAAUCACAACAGAGUUGACAAACAUUCCAUUCCCUUUCAACCAUCAUCCCUCGUCACCUAUCAACAAGCUUUUCCAGCUAUUAUUGAUAAUAGCUCCCACCAGCAAUCAAUCUUGCUUGGCAAGAAGAUUUUGGCUCCACAAAUAGAAGUGAAGUAUUUUUAGGCUAUUCAAUGUAUGUGGCCAGCUUGAACCAAGUAAUGCAGUCCUAGUUACCGGAAAGGUGUCCUCGGCAUAUUCCUCUUUUGUCUUCAAUCUAUAAAACCAACCUCCGGAUUUUGCGGAGUACUACAAAUCUCCAUUUCUAGUCUUACUGGGCCAUCCUUCACGGAAAUCUCCUAAGAUUGGCUAUGCUAUAAGAGUCAAUCAAAUGGACAUGAGUUCUACUUGUUGGAUUAAAGUAGGCUUUCCAUUUUCAAUUCUGUGCUCAUUGUGAAUGAAGAUCCUGAAUUUGACCUGGCUUCAAGUUUGGGUUGGAAUUAAAUUUUAGUUUUUUGGGGUUGUGAGUAGAAAUUACUGCUAUUUCGGUCAACUUUCUCAAAUAUACAUUAAUUUCACUAUGUUUUUAUUAGUUUGUAUAUUGUUAGAUUAUAAUACUUUUAUUUGACCCGCACCUCCUACCAGCCCUUUAAUCUUUGAAUUAGUAUUCUAAGUUCUAACACAGGUUCUGUAUAAUUGUACCACUUUUCCAUUUCUUUUGUGAUACGUAAGAAGAAUCAAUUUCCUCUGGUUAACUUUCUACCUUUACAUUAUUACAUAUAUAUAUAUAUAUAUUCUUUUUCAUAGUAAUAUGUACUUGAAUAAGUGUAGUUUCGUGGUUUGGGAUUCGAGUUAAAAAAAUCACAUUUUAUAUGUGUUCAAUUAGUUAUGCAUAUCCAUAUAAAUUUUCAAAUAUUUUUUCUCCCAACUUAUUUUGGAUUCUUUAUUCACUACUAUAAAAACAUGCUUUUAUGAUACUUUUUAGGACAUUCACCUAAAUGCGAGCCCUAAAAAUAUCUCUUGGACUUUUUAGAACACUCAUUGAGAGUCUUUGAAGAAUUUCUUUUAGGACACGCGGUGCAAGUCCUAAAAACUGAUGUGUGUCCUAAAAGUUUGAUUUUUUUUUUACAAAAGCUCUUGGAUUUUUUAGGACACUCAUUGAGAGUCCUUAAAAAAUAUCUUUUAGGACUCGCUUACUGAUGUGAGUCCUAAAAGACUAUGAGGAAAUUUGAGUGAAGACUUUUAAGGACACACUUUGAGUGCCCUAAAAAAAUAAUAAAUAAAUAAAUUAACAAAUUAAAGUUUUAUUAAUAACUAAAUUUUUUUAAAAAAUAAAUAAAUGAAACAAAACCUCUCUCCCACUCAACCCCCCUCAUCCUUCUCUCUCUUCUCUCUCAGAUUCUCUCCCACCCGAAGCUCUCCUUCCCUCUCUCCCGCCUUAGAAUUUGCAGAGCACGACCGCCACCUUCCCCACCAUCACCAACAACACGUGCCAACUAGGGAGCUUCAGAGGCCACCGAAGCUUCAACCCACGCGAGCUUGAACCCUCAUGCGCCUCCUAAGGCAGAUAGCGACGCCUGCAAUUUUGGAUUUUCCCAAAGUUUUCGACGAGAUUCUGACCACCUUGGGUCAUUGUGAGUCGAGCCACCACCACCAUCGUACUCAACACUUUCAUGCGAGCAAAACCCAACCAAGGAUCGGGUUAGAAGUCACCGAAUUUCAUUUUUGUUGUUCGUCAGAAUCUAUGGAGUCCGAAACUUUUUGGCUCCAAUCCGACCACCACGUUCAGUUCAACGAAGAACCACCACCACCAUGACGUUCCUCGAGCCUUAGGCUUUGAAAGCCAAUCACUGUUUUCUCUAAUAAUCGUCGUAGGGUGGUGGCGCCGCUGCUGUCGCCAGAGCUCCGAUGGAAGCUUUGGCUACCAAUUACUUUUUUAAAAAUUAAAAAUAAAACUUUUUAGGACUCGAAAUGCGAAGCCUAAAAACAUUAUUUUAGGGCUUGCAACGUGAGUCCUAAAAAACCUCACUUUUUAAGGCUCUCAAAUAAAGGACUCGUGCUCCGCGAGUCCUAAAAAGCCUGUUUUGUAGUAGUGAUUUAUUUAAUAACUAGAUUAGUAAAAGUAACUUGAUACUAGAACAAAGAAAUAACAUAAGUGAACCAUAUGAUUUAGGGUAUCAGGUUACCCCAAUUAUCAUUAUUAUCAUUUUUUUUGGGUAUAUUAUUUAGGAAUUACAUAACAAACAAAUGAGUUGUAUGUAUUUGUGUGGAUUCAAAAUUGUAGUGACCCAAAAUUUAUUUUAUGUUUUAUUUAAUUGUUUGAUUAUUAGAAAAUAAUUUGAAUUGUUUGUUUUGUGUGAAUUAGGAUUUAAUUGAUUUAUUUGGAAUAAUUGUGUAAUGCUUGUUUAAGUAUUAGUGUUACAUUUUUAGGUGUGACAAAUUAUGUGAUUAGAAUAGGUUACAUUAUUAUUUAUUAUUUAUUUAUUGAGUGAGCGUGUGUCGAAUUGUGUGUGUGUGGUUGGGUGGGUGGAAUUUAUUUAAUUUUAGUUUGAGAAAAAGAAAAGAAUUGUUGAGUUGUCAUCUUUUGGGAAAAGAUGACAAUGAUUAUCCAUUGUAGUUUUUUUCACAUUGGAUAGAGUUUAGGUGAGGUGUAAAGAGAAGAAAUGGUGAGAUUUAGGCUUAUGUGGUGGGAUAGGAUUUGAGCUUUCACACUUAGGUUCUUUUCUUAGGGUUAGAUCGUUGGGAUGUUAUAAAUAGAAGAGUGUGAGCCCUGGGAAAACCCUUUGUGGUUGCUGAAAUUGAGAGAGAAAGAAAGAGAGGAGGAAAGGAAAGAGAGAGAGAGAGAGAGAGAGAGAGAGAGAGAAGAAGGGUGGGGUUGAAACUCUUUAGGUAGACUUGUUUGGCACGCAUAGUGACUUGAGUCAUCCAUAAGUAUGUAUGUAUGCUGCGGGGAGCCAAUAAGUGAGGAAAUGAUCCAGAACGCCAUUGUGCCUGAGAGUCUUUCCUUUUGUUAAUUUAUCAGUGGGAUGUAUUUUAUUUAUUUUAAGACUGGAUUAAAUUCUCUUUUGUUUUUGGACAUUGGAUCCAAACUCUGUAUUAUCUUCAAUAAGGACCCAUUGAGUUUUUAGUCAUACUAUGUAAUCUUUUAAAUUAUUAUUAAAAUUAGUAUUUUAAUAAAGAUAGGGAAUUAAUGGCGUUACAAAAAUCCCUUUUGUUGGUUCCCUAA